GUCCAUUUCUUCCCACCUUCUACUCCCAGGUUCACGUUGGAUGGAAAACAUAUUAAUCAGAAAAGAUUUGGAAAAUCAUUAAUCUAAUAAUGAGAAAAAUGAAGAGAAUGAAGUGUUUCUGAUAAGAAAAAAAGAAUUGGAAAAUGGAACCAAGAUAUCUUAAAUAAGAAAAGUGACCCAGACACCUCCAUUCAGCACAAAGCACAUCAGAGACAAAGACCCCAGCGAUGUUCCCCAACAACCUCG
rnacentral:antisense_RNA from 1 species